GAUAACUUACCGAUCAAUGUUUGGAGAUUGCACCGGAUUGGAGACAGGCGUUGUCGCUUAAGAAGGCUAUUGAAGAUAGAAUAACUAAAGAUGGUGUCAUUGGUAUAGGAAUUACUGUGACUACUAUAGGACUCAUUGUUGGUGGGAUUGUAGCAUCGUUGGUCCGAAGAAACUGAUCUUCGACUGCUCUAUCAUGCUUUAUGAAAACAACCAUAUGAGGUUAUUGACCACUCAUUAAAACACCACAAAAAUCCGAGUUUCAACUGAAAAAAGAAGAUGAAUGAAACAUAUUUGCUGGUUUCUUUUCCA